rnacentral:rRNA from 1 species
GUCCCCGCACAAGCAGCGGAGCGUGUGGUUUAAUUCGUUGCUACACGAAGAACCUUACCUGGGUUUGACAUAGCAGUGGUAGGGAAGAGAAAUCGGACCGACCCUUCGGGGAGCUGUUACAGGUGUUGCAUGGCUGUCGUCAGCUCGUGUCGUGAGAUGUUCGGUUAAGUCCGCUAACGAGCGCAACCCGCGUUGUGUGUUAUAUGUGUCACACAAUACCGCCGGUAUUAAGCCGGAGGAAGGUGCGGAUGACGUCAAGUCAGCAUGACCUUUAUAUCCAGGGCUACACACACGCUACAAUGGACAGUACAACAGGUUGCCAAGCCGCGAGGCGGAGCCAAUCCUCUAAAGCUGUCCUCAGUUCAGAUUGCAGGCUGCAACUCGCCUGCAUGAAGUUGGAGUUGCUAGUAACCGCAGGUCAGCUAUACUGCGGUGAAUACGUUCCCGGGGAUU